rnacentral:rRNA from 1 species
AUUGAACGCUGGCGGCAUGCCUUACACAUGCAAGUCGAACGGCAGCACGGGAGCAAUCCUGGUGGCGAGUGGCGAACGGGUGAGUAAUAUAUCGGAACGUGCCCAGUCGUGGGGGAUAACGUAGCGAAAGUUACGCUAAUACCGCAUACGAUCCAUGGAUGAAAGCGGGGGAUCGCAAGACCUCGCGCGAUUGGAGUGGCCGAUAUCAGAUUAGGUAGNGGUGGGGUAAAGCUCACCAAGCCGACGAUCUGUAGCUGGUCUGAGAGGACGACCAGCCACACUGGGACUGAGACACGGCCCAGACUCCUACGGGAGGCAGCAGUGGGAAUUUUGGACAAUGGGCGAAAGCCUGAUCCAGCAAUGCCGCGUGCAGGGACGAA